rnacentral:rRNA from 1 species
UACGUAGGGCGCAAGCGUUAUCCGGAAUUAUUGGGCGUAAAGAGCUCGUAGGCGGCUUGUCGCGUCUGCCGUGAAAGCCCGGGGCUCAACUCCGGAUCUGCGGUGGGUACGGGCAGACUAGAGUGAUGUAGGGGAGACUGGAAUUCCUGGUGUAGCGGUGAAAUGCGCAGAUAUCUGGAGGAACACCGGUGGCGAAGGCGGCAUCCUGGGCCAACACUGGCGGUGAGUGAGCGAAAGCGAGGGGAGCAAACGGG